CCCGGGUCUUGUACACACCGCCCGUCACACCACGAGAGUUUACAACACCCGAAGUCGGUGAGGUAACCGCAAGGAGCCAGCCGCCGAAGGUGGGGUAGAUGAUUGGGGUGAAGUCGUAACAAGGUACCC
rnacentral:rRNA from 1 species